GCGCUCAUAGCUCAAUUGGAUAGAGCAACGGCCUUCUAAGCCGUAGGUUGCAGGUUCGAGUCCUGCUGGGCGCGCCA
rnacentral:tRNA from 1 species